GACGAACGCUGGCGGCGUGCUUAACACAUGCAAGUCGAACGGAAAGGCCCUGCUUUUGUGGGGUGCUCGAUUGGCGAACGGGUGAGUAACACGUGAGUAACCUGCCCUUGACUUUGGGAUAACUUAAGGAAACUGGGGUUAAUACCGGACAGGAUCCCCCGUUGCAUGGUGGGGGUUGGAACGUCUCGGCGGUCGGGGAUGGACUCGCGGCUUACCAGCUUGUUGGUGGGGUAGUGGCUUACCAAGCCUUUGGCGGGUAGCCGGCCUGGGAGGGUGACCGGCGACAUUGGGACUGAGGUACGGCCCAGACUGCUACGGGAGGCAGCGGUGGGGAAUAUUGCACAAUGGGCGGAAGCCUGAUACAGCAACGCCGCGCUCGUGAUGACGGCCUUCGGGGUGUAAACAGCUUUCGCCUGUGACGAAGCGUGAGUGACGGUAAUGAGUGAAGAAGCACCGGCUAACUACGUG
rnacentral:rRNA from 1 species